rnacentral:rRNA from 1 species
CGGACCGGCGGACGGGUGCGUAACGCGUAUGCAACCUGCCUGACACAGGGGGAUAAUCCGAAGAAAUUUGGUCUAAUACCCCAUAAUACCGAUAUAGGCAUCUAUGUUGGUUGAAAGCUUUGGUGGUGUCAGAUGGGCAUGCGUUGUAUUAGCUAGUUGGUGAGGUAACGGCUCACCAAGGCGACGAUACAUAAGGGGACUGAGAGGUUAACCCCCCACACUGGUACUGAGACACGGACCAGACUCCUACGGGAGGCAGCAUG